ACUUGCGGGGCAAACCCUAUGAGCGCCACGUCCUGCUCCUGCGAUUACUCGUCGCAAAAUGCUUUUGUGGCAGCGGGUUUGUGACCGACGUCGUGUCGA
rnacentral:sRNA from 1 species